ACCAUCGUUUCUAAUUUGGCGGACUGGAUACGUCUGCAUUUGCUUGACCAAUCACAGAACCAGCUUCACCCCCCCCGACAAACCUGGACCCCUAAAUGUACCUAAAACAUUUCGUUUCAGUCAGUCCAGUCACUCACUGCGCAGUCUACCAUAGGAGGUAGCGCCUUUUAGCACCCGCCUUUUAAAAGACAAAAAGAAGAGGUCACUCAGGUUGAAGAAGCGCCCCGUUCCUCAAGACGUGAUCCACUUGCUGCUUCCCCAAACGCUGACGCAUCCCAACUACCGAAACGCAAGGAGGUUGUUUCUCAAACUGACGCCACUGCAGGCUGUGGACACACGGCUACCUUGUAGAAGAGUUAUUGCUCAACUCAGGAGCAAAGAGUGGUGUCAAGGAAAACAGCUGCAUCCUCCAUCUGUACAGCAGCUGCACUGCUUCCGAUGUCUUUCAAAACGUGAUGAAGACAACAAAGAUCCUCACAUCUCCCCAGCCAACUGCCCAUGACUGUACCUGUUCCACUCCAGAAAAUAUGCUUUCAACAUAACUAUGAAUCCUACCCAUUCAUUUUUUUGUAUGCACAUUGAGCUGUGAAGGUAACUCAUCCAGCAUUAUAGGGCUGGUGCAUUGGUUGACAAUUGCUUUGACUAUUGCUGUUUCACUGAACUAUUUUUUAUGAGGGAAAACACACAAAUGUUUUAUAAUAUUUCAACUUUUACUGAGGUAUUUCCACAAAAACAAUAAUUUAGGUAUUCCACAGGUGGUCUAAGUUCACCAUAGGUGCCUUGUCCCUCAGGAAACACUGCUCUGAUCCAGACCAGGAAAGGUGGGAUGACAACUUGGACUCUAGAAGUCCCCAGCCCCAGCUGACAAGACUUCUAGGCUAGAUACCUGCAACAACUCGAGAUACACACACAGACAUAGUACUGUCAAAUUUAUGAAGAAAAAAACAAUAACUAAAUUUCUAUUAGUUAUAUAUUAGCAGUUGAUAUAUCAUACACCUUAGGUCAAUAUGUAUUUAGAACCAAAACUAUGUUUGUAAACUAGAGUUUCCAGGUACGUUAUGAUUAAUCUGUAAAUACUAAAAUGUUCUAAAAUUGUUUAAUUUCGGAGAUACUGAUUUAUUCCAUGCAUGUGUAAUUGUCUAAUAUACUGUAUAUUAAAUGUGUUCUGUAAUGAAUACACAUUCAAUCAUACUGGCUCCAGUCCUGGAUCAUCAACCAUACAUGACAGUAGGUUUGGCAACUGGUUCAGGCGUCUUGAGGUAAGAUUUAUCAAAAUUUUAAUUUAUUAAUAAAAGUAAUAAACACAUGCAAUAUCUUGAAAGCAAUAGUUGCUGUCACACCAUGCCUCUAUAGGCAUUCACUGUUCCUACAUUGGCACUUAAUUACAGACAAAUACAAUAAAAAAAUAUAUAAGCUGCAGCUGAAGACCCCAUA